UAGGUAUAGAUGGUUCCGGGAGAUAUCGGUAAGUAUCACGAUAGGCAAGGAUGUCUGGUUCUGAUUAUUGUAGAUGAUGGAAUCCAACGUUGGGUGAUGAAACCUCCAAGGAAACUUGAAGACGACGAACGAAAUAAACUAACAGAGUCGUACCUCUUGAGAUGACGAGCGAGCUUAUGGUGAAUGUGACGGAAGAUCCGCAAUAUAUGCGCGAGAAUUAACCACCAAAAUAUCAAACGGCACGUACUUAAUCUUCUCUGACAACCAAUUCUCUACAAAUCCUUCCUUAGAAGCUCAAUAUAAUUGUAAUUAAAGACUUGGUGAAAUCACAUGUACUUCAUACAAGAUGUCUACAGGAAAAGUGAAAGUUGAUAAGAGUAUACGGGAAAAGGAAAUUGUUAUCAGCUACAGGGAAAGAAGAGUAGAAAAUGAAACAAAGUAUUUCGAAGACUUAAUAGGCCUUAAGGGUAAGAAAAUAAACCGUUACAAUAUUACGUACACAACAAGGCAAUGUCAUGGAAACCUUCUACGGCACAAAACCCGGCAUAGCCCACACAAAUAUUUCUUUCAGUAUUUUGCUCUUAACUCCGUUUUUUAGUGAUGUAACUUCGACUUCUUCAAUUUUUUUAACAUUUUUGAACAUUAAACUUUACGAUUACUGUAAGUGUAAGGUAAUUGGUCUAUUAGGUAUUUGAUUUUUAUAAUUAAUAUACUCUAUUUGUAGCCUAGUUGUGUUUUACACUUUUAAAUGUUAUUACUCACCGUAAUUGAAUUUUACAAUUAAAGUUUUAUGGGGAAUAGUUUUUGUUUUGGUCCUUCACACAAAUACUUACA